rnacentral:rRNA from 1 species
UACGUAGGGGGCAAGCGUUGUUCGGAUUUACUGGGCGUAAAGGGCGCGUAGGCGGCAAUUCAAGUCAUCUGUGAAAUCUCCGAGCUUAACUCGGAACGGUCAAGUGAUACUGCUGUGCUAGAGUGCGGAAGGGGCAACUGGAAUUCUCGGUGUAGCGGUGAAAUGCGUAGAUAUCGAGAGGAACACCUGCGGCGAAGGCGGGUUGCUGGGCCGACACUGACGCUGAGGCGCGAAAGCUAGGGGAGCGAACGGG